rnacentral:rRNA from 1 species
GUUUACUUUGANAAAAUUAGAGUGUUCAAAGCAGGCGCGUCGCCUGAAUAAUGGUGCAUGGAAUAAUGGAACAGGACCUCGGUUCUAUUUUGUUGGUUUUCGGAAGUCGAGGUAAUGAUUAAGAGGGACAGACGGGGGCAUUCGUAUUACGGUGUUAGAGGUGAAAUUCUUGGAUCGCCGUAAGACGAACUACUGCGAAAGCAUUUGCCAAGAAUGUUUUCAUUAAUCAAGAACGAAAGUCAGAGGUUCGAAGACGAUCAGAUACCGUCGUAGUUCUGACCAUAAACGAUGCCAACUAGCGAUCCGCCGGAGUUGUUNCAAUGACUCGGCGNNCAGCUUCCGGGAAACCAAAGUUUGUG